AAGUCCCGCAACGAGCGCAACCCUUAUCCUUGUUUGCCAGCGAGUAAUGUCGGGAACUCCAGGGAGACUGCCGGUGAUAAACCGGAGGAAGGUGGGGACGACGUCAAGUCAUCAUGGCCCUUACGAGUAGGGCUACACACGUGCUACAAUGGCGCAUACAGAGGGCGGCCAACUUGCGAAAGUGAGCGAAUCCCAAAAAGUGCGUCGUAGUCCGGAUUGGAGUCUGCAACUCGACUCCAUGAAGUCGGAAUCGCUAGUAAUCGUGGAUCAGAAUGCCACGGUGAAUACGUUCCCGGGCCUUGUACACACCGCCCGUCACACCAUGGGAGUGGGCUGCAAAAGAAGUAGGUAGUUUAACCUUCGGGGGGACGCUUACCACUUUGUGGUUCAUGACUGGGGUGAAGUCGUAACAAGGUAGCGCUAGGGGAACCUGGCGCUGGAUCACCUCCUUAUACGAUGAU
rnacentral:rRNA from 1 species